rnacentral:ncRNA from 1 species
UAUUGAUAAAGGCAAACCUAUUGAAAAAUAGGGACGCAAAACUAUAGGGGUUAAGGCGCUUCGCGCUAAGCCAGCCAGUUACCGAU